rnacentral:rRNA from 1 species
GCAGUCGAACGAUGCUUUCGGGCAUAGUGGCGCACGGGUGCGUAACGCGUGGGAAUCUGCCCUUAGGUUCGGAAUAACCGUUGGAAACGACGGCUAAUACCGGAUGAUAUCGCGAGAUCAAAGAUUUAUCGCCUGAGGAUGAGCCCGCGUAAGAUUAGGUAGUUGGUGGGGUAAAGGCCUACCAAGCCGACGAUCUUUAGCUGGUCUGAGAGGAUGAUCAGCCACACUGGGACUGAGACACGGCCCAGACUCCUACGGGAGGCAGCAGUGGGGAAUAUUGGACAAUGGGCGCAAGCCUGAUCCAGCAAUGCCGCGUGAGUGAUGAAGGCCUUAGGGUUGUAAAGCUCUUUUACCCGGGAUGAUAAUGACAGUACCGGGAGAAUAAGCCCCGGCUAACUCCGUGCCAGCAGCCGCGGUAAUACGGAGGGGGCUAGCGUUGUUCGGAAUUACUGGGCGUAAAGCGCACGUAGGCGGCUUUGUAAGUUAGGGGUGAAAGCCUGGAGCUCAACUCCAGAAUUGCCUUUAAGACUGCAUCGCUUGAAUCCAGGAGAGGUGAGUGGAAUUCCGAGUGUAGAGGUGAAAUUCGUAGAUAUUCGGAAGAACACCAGUGGCGAAGGCGGCUCACUGG